CUAGUGGUGCCAUGUGCAGAGAAAAACCUGGAUAUGACACAGGAAGUUAUGAAAGAAGCUCAUGAUACGCCUCUGUGUAUCCAUCCGGGUAGUACAAAGAUGUACCAAGAUAUCCGUCAGAGAUUCUGGUGGACUAAUAUGAAGCAAGACAUUGCUCGUUAUGUUGCUGAGUGUGACGUUUGCCGUCGCAUCAAAGCAGAACAUCAAAGGCCUGCUGGAACUCUGCAACCUAUCUCUAUUCCUGAAUGGAAAUGGGACCAUGUUGAGAUGGACUUCGUCACUGGAUUUCCCAAAUCGCAGAAAGGUAAUGAUGCUAUUCUUGUCGUCAUUGACCGGCUUUCCAAAGUUGCACAUUUCCUGGCAGUCAAAGAAACGAUCACUGCUAGCCAGUUGGCAACGCUCUAUAUGUCCAGGAUUGUUUCACUCCAUGGUAUUCCAUUGGUUAUCAGUUCAGACCGUGGUAGCAUAUUCACUUCAAGAUUCUGGGCAAGUUUCCAAGAAGCAAUGGGAACUCAUCUGUCAUUUAGUACUGCGUUUCAUCCUCAAUCGCAAGGACAAGUUGAACGCGUCAAUCAAAUCCUCGAAGACAUGCUUCGAGCUUGCGUUAUUUCCUUCGGCAAGAAAUGGGAGGAAUCUCUCCCGUAUGCUGAGUUCUCCUAUAAUAAUAGCUAUCAAGCUAGUCUGAAGAUGGCCCCCUUCGAGGUGUUAUAUGGACGAAAGUGCCGAACCCCUCUGAACUGGUCAGAAACUGGGGAACGUCCACUCUACGGUCCGGAUAUUAUCCAAGAUGCCGAAGAACAAGUCCGCAUUAUUCGCGAGAAUCUCAAGACUGCUCAGUCACGUCAGAAGAGUCAGUAUGACCGUCAUCAUAAAGACAUGGUCUAUCAACCUGGCGAAAAGGCUUAUCUUCGAGUCACACCUAUGAAGGGUGCUCACCGAUUCGGGAUCAAGGGCAAACUAGCUCCUCGCUAUAUUGGCCCAUUCACUAUUCUCGAAAGGCGUGGAAAAGUGGCAUACCAACUGGAACUACCGCCGAACCUUUCUCAGGUUCACGAUGUGUUCCAUGUGUCACAGCUCCGCCGAUGCUUCAAGGAUCCAAUCCGAGCUGUGGAUCAUGAAGUGCUCGAAUUGCAGCAAGACCUCUCCUAUAAG
rnacentral:rRNA from 1 species